rnacentral:rRNA from 1 species
AUUGAACGCUGGCGGCAGGCCUAACACAUGCAAGUCGAACGAGUGGCGGACGGGUGAGUAAUGUCUGGGAAACUGCCUGAUGGCGGGGGAUAACUACUGGAAACGGUAGCUAAUACCGCAUACCAUCAGAUGUGCCCAGAUGGGAUUAGCUAGUUGGUGGGGUAACGGCUCACCAAGGCGACGAUCCCUAGCUGGUCUGAGAGGAUGACCGGCCACACUGGAACUGGGAAACGGUCCAGACUCCUACGGGAGGCAGCGGUGGGGAAUAUUGCACAAUGGGGGCAGGCCCGAUGGAACCAUGCCGCGUGUAUGAAGAAGGCCUUCAGGUUGUAAAGUACUUUCAGCGGGGAGGCGUUACCCGCAGAAGAAGCACCGGCUAACUCCGUGCCAGCCGCCGCGGUAAUAC